GCGACUUGUGUGUGUUGAGAGUAUAGAAUUUCAACGAAUCUUAAUUCAUUGCUUCGUUCUAUCCUUCAAAUUUCUCUUUUUAAUUUGAAUGUUUGUAAGAAUUUUCUUUCACUUGGGGUCGUUUUCUUUUUAUUCAGUUUGCUAUCUAGUGUGGUGGUUCGAGGUGCUUAUUUACUUACCUAUUUUCAAGCGUCGAUCCUUAAACCUUGGUUAUCCCGACUUUCAAGUGAUAUACGU